UGGGGAAUAUUGGACAAUGGGCGAAAGCCUGAUCCAGCCAUGCCGCGUGUGUGAAGAAGGUCUUCGGAUUGUAAAGCACUUUAAGUUGGGAGGAAGGGCAGUAAGCGAAUACCUUGCUGUUUUGACGUUACCGACAGAAUAAGCACCGGCUAACUCUGUGCCAGCAGCCGCGGUAAUACAGAGGGUGCAAGCGUUAAUCGGAAUUACUGGGCGUAAAGCGCGCGUAGGUGGUUCGUUAAGUUGAAUGUGAAAGCCCCGGGCUCAACCUUGGAACUGCAUCCAAAACUGGCGAGCUAGAGUAGGGCAGAGGGUGGUGGAAUUUCCUGUGUAGCGGUGAAAUGCGUAGGUAUAGGAAAGAACACCAGUGGCGAAGGCGACCACCUGGGCUCAUACUGACACUGAGGUGCGAAAGCGUUGGGAGCGAACAGG
rnacentral:rRNA from 1 species